AGACCCUUUAAUACAGUCCCGAGAGGCUGAGAAGGAUGAACGCACAGUAUUUCACAGGACACGUCUGUUCCCUGUGAAAACAGAUGAUGCAUCUUUCCCGCCUGUUGCGACAGGCGGUUUUUUAU
rfam:Bacillus selenitireducens MLS10, complete genome.